rnacentral:rRNA from 2 species
UGGGGGGACCAUCCUCCAAGGCUAAAUACUCCUGACUGACCGAUAGUGAACCAGUACCGUGAGGGAAAGGCGAAAAGAACCCCGGCGAGGGGAGUGAAAAAGAACCUGAAACCGUGUACGUACAAGCAGUGGGAGCCCCACCACCAAAGCAUUCUCUGGUGUUGAAGGCCCUGCAAAGCAGCAUCGCGGUGGCGGAGCGUCGUUUGCGACGCCCAACACACAAAACAAGCGGUGAGUGCUUUGGGGUGGGGUGACUGCGUACCUUUUGUAUAAUGGGUCAGCGACUUAUAUUCUGUAGCAAGGUUAACCGUAUAGGGGAGCCGUAGGGAAACCGAGUCUUAACCGGGCGUUAAGUUGCAGGGUAUAGACCCGAAACCCGGUGAUCUAGCCAUGGGCAGGUUGAAGGUUGGGUAACACUAACUGGAGGACCGAACCGACUAAUGUUGAAAAAUUAGCGGAUGACUUGUGGCUGGGGGUGAAAGGCCAAUCAAACCGGGAGAUAGCUGGUUCUCCCCGAAAGCUAUUUAGGUAGCGCCUCGUGAAUUCAUCUUCGGGGGUAGAGCACUGUUUCGGCUAGGGGGUCAUCCCGACUUACCAACCCGAUGCAAACUGCGAAUACCGGAGAAUGUUAUCACGGGAGACACACGGCGGGUGCUAACGUCCGUCGUGAAGAGGGAAACAACCCAGACCGCCAGCUAAGGUCCCAAAGUCAUGGUUAAGUGGGAAACGAUGUGGGAAGGCCCAGACAGCCAGGAUGUUGGCUUAGAAGCAGCCAUCAUUUAAAGAAAGCGUAAUAGCUCACUGGUCGAGUCGGCCUGCGCGGAAGAUGUAACGGGGCUAAACCAUGCACCGAAGCUGCGGCAGCGACACUGUGUGUUGUUGGGUAGGGGAGCGUUCUGUAAGCCUGCGAAGGUGGCCUGUGAGGGUUGCUGGAGGUAUCAGAAGUGCGAAUGCUGACAUAAGUAACGAUAAAGCGGGUGAAAAGCCCGCUCGCCGGAAGACCAAGGGUUCCUGUCCAACGUUAAUCGGGGCAGGGUGAGUCGACCCCUAAGGCGAGGCCGAAAGGCGUAGUCGAUGGGAAACAGGUUAAUAUUCCUGUACUUGGUGUUACUGCGAAGGGGGGACGGAGAAGGCUAUGUUGGCCGGGCGACGGUUGUCCCGGUUUAAGCGUGUAGGUGUGUGUUCCAGGUAAAUCCGGUUCACUUUAACACUGAGGCGUGA